UACGUAGGGUGCGAGCGUUAAUCGGAAUUACUGGGCGUAAAGCGUGCGCAGGCGGGCUUUGCAGGACAGAUGUGAAAUCCCCGGGCUUAACCUGGGAACUGCAUUUGUGACUGCAUAGCUAGAGUACGGUAGAGGGGGAUGGAAUUCCGCGUGUAGCAGUGAAAUGCGUAGAUAUGCGGAGGAACACCGAUGGCGAAGGCAAUCCCCCUGGACCUGUACUGACGCUCAUGCACGAAAGCGUGGGGAGCAAACAGG
rnacentral:rRNA from 1 species